rnacentral:rRNA from 1 species
AAUGAACGCUGGCGGCGUGCUUAACACAUGCAAGUCGAGCGAGGCCUGGGGGGCAACUCCCAGAGUCGAGCGGCGGACGGGUGAGUAACACGUGGGUAACCUGCCCGGAAGUGGGGAAUACCUCGGGGAAACUCGAGCUAAUACCGCAUGACAUCUCCGGGACGAAAGUCCUGGCGAUCAAAGCGGGGUCGCAAGAUCUCGCGCUACCGGAUGGGCCCGCGCCCGAUUAGCUAGNGGUGAGGUAACGGCUCACCAAGGCUUCGAUCGGUAACCGGCCUGAGAGGGCGAUCGGUCACACCGGAACUGAGGCACGGUCCGGACUCCUACGGGAGGCAGCAGUGGGGAAUCUUGCGCAAUGGGCGAAAGCCUGACGCAGCAACGCCGCGUGGAGGAUGAAGGCCCUUGGGUUGUAAACUCCUGUCGGCUGGGAAGAAAUCGUUCGGGCUCAUACCCUCGGACGUUGACUGUACCAGCAAAGGAAGCCCCGGCUAACUCUGUGCCAGCCGCCGCGGU